UACGUAGGCAGCGAGCGUUGUUCGGAGUUACUGGGCGUAAAGGGUGCGCAGGCGGUCGGGUGUGUCAGAUGUGAAAUCCCGAGGCUCAACCUCGGAACUGCGUCUGAAACUACUCGACUAGAGUACUGGAGAGGGUAACGGAAUUCACGGUGUAGCAGUGAAAUGCGUAGAUAUCGUGAGGAACACCAGAGGCGAAGGCGGUUACCUGGACAGUUACUGACGCUCAGGCACGAAAGCAUGGGGAGCAAAAGGG
rnacentral:rRNA from 1 species